GCCGGGAUGGUGGAACUGGCAGACACGUACGUUUGAGGUGCGUAUGGGGUAACCCAUGGGGGUUCGAGUCCCCCUCCCGGCA
rnacentral:tRNA from 1 species